AAAUAAAUAAAACUAGCAAUUAAAUCACCCACAGCCACCCACAGUCAUGAAUAAUUACAGCACCAGUCCUGUGUGUGUUACGUGGCAGCUGGCAGUGGUGGGUGAGGGAGGCAAGAAGGCAGGGAGCGGCACUCGUGUAGUUAUGAAGAGACGGGGCUGUGUGACGUGGAGACAUUGGCGGCAUCUGAGGCACCCGUUGAAUUGCUAAUGAUUCUUUUGCCAGAAACCGAGUAUUUGCUGUAGAGACUCGUGUGUUGAGAAAAGGGAAAAUAUGUGAAUUCCUAGUGGUAUUUUAGCCAGGAAACUACCAGAAUUAGGAUGCUUGGUAUAGUCUGCAAGUAAUACUGGGAAAUGAGACAAAGAAACUCAAAACAUUGCUAACUUGAAAAUCGCCACUUGUUCCCUCGUGACUUAGAAUGACAAGGAAACUACAGCAAAUUAUCUUAGUGGAAACUAGAUAUAACAAAAGAAUAAUUUAGAAGCAAUACCGGAUCAAAAGAAAACUGAUAACACGAACUGGUAACACAGGACUGGCCAGAAAUUAACUGAAUGACAGGUGACAGGUGACGGACUGGGGGGAGGUGACAGGUGACAGGUGACCAAGAACAAACUAAGAAAGAAAAGGUAAAUUUGCGAAGUGUAGCAUGAAAACACACACAAAUACACACACACACACACACACACACACACACACACACACACACACACACACACACACACACACACACACACACACACACACACACACACACACACAAGGCAUGCAAUAAUCCAGGAAUUCCAGUAGAGAACCUCCGGAUCGACUGUCUGUGGAAGAGGCAAGAAAUGAUACGUCUGUAGCCAGCGGUCUUAAAGGGAAUGGGUGAGGCGUGAGGGGAGAGAGAGAGGGGGAAGGGAAGGGAGAAGAAGGAGAAACGAGCAAGGGUGAUGGAGGGUGGAGGAAGGGUGACAAGACUACCCCAUUAUAUUCUUCCUCCUUCCUGCCCCUCUCACACUCUCAAAGGCAGGGUCGAGACGCCGCCAAACUUUUGUAAAUGGCUGUGUUGGAUUUUCCUUUCACACGUUUUUGGUUCGCGUGGAGAGAUCCGGGAUGGUCUUUUUCUGUAUAUAUAUGUAUGUGUGUGUGUGUGUGUUUUAUUUCAUUUUAUACGUAUAUUUUUUUAUUUAUCUUUUGUCUUAGAUGUGUAGUUUCAAAGAAUUCCGUGUGUUUGCUGUUUUUUUCAUUUAUUUAGUCAUUUAUUUAUUUUGGGAUCCUGAAGUAGGCAAUUGUUUAUGGAUUUUCUGCUUUAGAUAACCGAGUUGGAAGAAUUUCAUGUUUUUUUUCUUUUA